rnacentral:rRNA from 1 species
UGGGGAAUUUUGGACAAUGGGGGCAACCCUGAUCCAGCAAUGCCGCGUGUGUGAAGAAGGCCUUCGGGUUGUAAAGCACUUUUGUCCGGGAAGAAAUCGCACCUGAUAAUACCGGGUGUGGAUGACGGUACCGGAAGAAUAAGGACCGGCUAACUACGUGCCAGCAGCCGCGGUAAUACGUAGGGUCCAAGCGUUAAUCGGAAUUACUGGGCGUAAAGCGUGCGCAGGCGGUUGUGCAAGACCGAUGUGAAAUCCCCGGGCUUAACCUGGGAAUUGCAUUGGUGACUGCACGGCUAGAGUGUGUCAGAGGGGGGUAGAAUUCGACGUGUAGCAGUGAGAUGCGUAGAGAUGUGGAGGAAUACCGAUGGCGAAGGCAGCCCCCUGGGAUAACACUGACGCUCAUGCACGAAAGCGUGGGGAGCAAACAGG